rnacentral:lncRNA from 1 species
UUACAGUGCCUCAGAAAAGUAAUGAUGUCACUUAGCAUUGUUCUGUGUCAGAGUUUUCCUUGCCCUGGAUUAUUACUGAGUGCAGCUCUUGGGUUUCUUUGUUUCUUUUGAUGUGUUGUUGGUGGGCACAGAUGACAGCGUGGAAAACAUUGCUGAAAAUCCUGGACAUGGCAGUGUAAUUCCACUGGUCAAAUGUAUUUAACUUCCUGGAAGGGUUGUGGGAAUGAUAAGAGAAUGUGGAUUUCUCGAGGCACAGCAAGACUGUACCAACAAUCUCUUCCUUUUACUUUAGACGCAAGGUGUGUGUGAGGUCUAUGUAAAUCACCUUCCCCUCAAUGCAAAGACAGAAACAAAAAGCAACAGAGAUGCAACCAUCUGCUGCUGAGGACACUGAUGAGCCCCUAGCUAGAAAACUACCUAUGGUGAUUCUUGCUUCAGUCUCUCCUGAAUACACCCUGGUCAGCAUUGAAGUCCUAAAACUUCCAAGCAGGUCUGGAACUGCUUCUGGGAAACCAGGCAGACUCCAUGGCACAGUGGGAGGUCUCAAACACAACAUCUCAUGCCGCACAAGAAACAAAUAAGGCGCUGCACCUGAGCUGCACAGAGGCCAGGAAAGAACUCUUCUCAGAAGAUGAUGACAUUGAGAAGUUGUUGCUGGAAAUGGCAGAAGAAGAACUGGAAGGAAAAAUUAAUGAGGAUGCUGUGGAUGCACACAAACAAGUUCCUUCUGGAACUAAGACCACUGACAGUGUAACACCAUAGUCAGACUGUACAUUUUAAAACAAACAACAACAACAAAAAACAAUUAAAACCAACCUAUUCCUUUUCAACCCUGUUCCUUUUCUUUCUUAUUUUGAGGGGACACUUUUUCUGAAACUU